GGGGCUGUAGCUUAGUGGUAGAGCACUUGCCUAGCACGUGCAAGGCCCUGGGUUCAAUCCUCAGCACCA
rnacentral:tRNA from 1 species